GACGAACGCUGGCGGCGUGCUUAACACAUGCAAGUCGAACGGAAAGGCCCUGCUUUUGUGGGGUGCUCGAGUGGCGAACGGGUGAGUAACACGUGAGUAACCUGCCCUUGACUUUGGGAUAACUUCAGGAAACUGGGGCUAAUACCGGAUAGGAGCUCCUGCUGCAUGGUGGGGGUUGGAAAGUUUCGGCGGUUGGGGAUGGACUCGCGGCUUAUCAGCUUGUUGGUGGGGUAGUGGCUUACCAAGGCUUUGACGGGUAGCCGGCCUGAGAGGGUGACCGGCCACAUUGGGACUGAAAUACGGCCCAGACUCCUACGGGAGGCAACAGUGGGGAAUAUUGCACAAUGGACGGAAGCCUGAUGCAGCAACGCCGCGUGCGGGAUGACGGCCUUCGGGUUGUAAACCGCUUUCGCCUGUGACGAAGCGUGAGUGACGGUAAUGGGUAAAGAAGCACCGGCUAACUACGUG
rnacentral:rRNA from 1 species